rnacentral:rRNA from 1 species
UACAGAGGUCCCAAGCGUUGUUCGGAUUCACUGGGCGUAAAGGGUGCGUAGGCGGUCGGGUAAGUCUGAUGUGAAAUCUCCGAGCCUAACUCGGAAACUGCAUUGGAUACUAUUCGGCUGGAGGGUUGGAGGGGGGACUGGAAUACUUGGUGUAGCAGUGAAAUGCGUAGAUAUCAAGUGGAACACCAGUGGCGAAGGCGAGUCCCUGGACAACUCCUGACACUGAGGCACGAAAGCUAGGGGAGCAAACAGG